AAUCCAGGAUUUUCGUGGGGAAAUCUGGGAAUUUUGGGGAGAUAUUUGGGAAUUUUGGGGGAAAAAGCAGGAAUUUUGGGAAACCCGGGAAUUUCAGGGCUCCAGGAAUUUGGGAGGGGUGAAAGGCCAGGGGUCAAAGGUCACUCACGGAUUUUUUGCCCUUUCGGUCCUUCCGGCCCUUCUUCAGGGGUUGCUCUGGGGGGACAAGGGGGGAAAUGGGUCUGGGGGUGCCCCAAAAUCCAAAUUUGGGGGGAGACCCCCCCGAAAAUUUGGGGGUUGGGUGUCCGAGAGGAGCAGAGCCCGAAUUGGGGGGGAGUCCCCAAAAUUGGGGGGUUUGGGUUAAAAAAUGGGGGGGAAGGAAAGGGGGGCUGGGGGGGCCAGCAAGGGGGGAGGGGGGCCCAAAUUCUGGGGGGUUCCCAAAUUCUGGGGCGGUCCCAAAAUCCCGGGGGUCUCCCCUCAUUCCCGGGGGUCUCCCCUCACGGGGGUCUCACCCUCAUCCCCCUCCCAAAUCUUGGGGGUCUCUCCCUCCUUCCCCCUUGCCCAUUCCCGGGGGUCUCACCCUCAUCCCCCUCAGUUUGGGGUUCCCAUCCCGGGGGUCUCCCCCUCAGUUUUAGGGUCCCCCCGGGGGUCUCUCCCCCCCAUUCCCGGGGGUCUCCCCCUCAGUUUUGGGGUCCCCCCGGGGGUCUCUCCCCCCCAUUCCCGGUUCCCCUCACGGGGGUCUCUCUCCCCAGUCCCGGGGGUCUCUCCCCCCCCAAUCCCGGGGGUCUCUCCCCCCAAUCCCGGGGGUCUCUCCCCUCAGUUUUGGGGUCCCCCCGGGAGUCUCUCCCCUCACUUUUGGGGUCCCCCCGGGGGUCUCUCCCUCCCCAAUCCCGGGGGUCUCUCCCCCCAAUCCCGGGGGUCUCUCCCCUCAGUUUUGGGGUCCCCCCGGGGGUCUCUCCCCUCAGUUUUGGGGUCCCCCCGGGGGUCUCUCCCCUCAGUUUUGGGGUCCCUCGGGGGUCUCUCCCCUCAGUUUUGGGGUCCCCCCGGGGGUCUCUCCCCCUCAGUUUUGGAGUCCCCUCGGGGGUCUCCCCCUCAGUUUUAGGGUCCCCCCGGGGGUCUCUCCCUCCCCCAUCCCGGGGGUCUCUCCCCUCAGUUUUGGGGUCCCCCCGGGGGUCUCUCCCCUCAGUUUUGGGGUCCCCCCGGGGGUCUCUCCCCCCCCAAUCCCGGGGGUCUCUCCCCCCCAAUCCCGGGGGUCUCUCCCCCCCCCAGUCCCGGGGGUCUCUCCCCUCAGUUUUGGGGUCCCCCGGGGGUCUCUCCCCCCCAUUCCCGGUUCCCCUCCCGGGGGUCUCUCCCCUCAGUUUUGGGUCCCCUCGGGUCUCUCUCACCCUCCUCGCCCCCCCUCCAUUCCUCCUGCUUGGCCCCCGCCGGCCGCGCUCCCUUCGGCAUGGCCGGGCACCGCGCACUGCGCAUGCGCCGCCACCGCCGCGCCGCGCCGCUUCCGCC
rnacentral:lncRNA from 1 species